rnacentral:rRNA from 1 species
UACGCUGGCGGCACGCCUAACACAUGCAUGUCGAACGAAGUAGCAAUACUUAGUGGCAGACGGGUGAGUAACAUGUAGGUAUCUGCCCUUUGGCCUGGAAUAACACGAGGAAACUUGUGCUAAUACCGGAUAAGUCUUUACGGAGAAAGCUUUAUGCACCAUUGGAUGAGCCUGCACUUGAUUAGUUUGUUGGUGGGGUAAUGGCCUACCAAGACUGUGAUCAAUAGCUGAUUUGAGAGGAUGAUCAGCCACAUUGGGACUGAGACACGGCCCAAACUCCUACGGGAGGCAGCAGUGGGGAAUCUUGCACAAUGGAGGAAACUCUGAUGCAGCGAUGCCGCGUGAGUGAAGAAGGCCCUUGGGUUGUAAAGCUCUUUCGUCGGGGAAGAAAAUGACUGUACCCGAAUAAGAAGGUCCGGCUAACUUCGUGCCAGCAGCCGCGGUAAUACGAAGGGACCUAGCGUAGUUCGGAAUUACUGGGCUUAAAGAGUUCGUAGGUGGUUGAAAAAGUUAGUGGUGAAAUCCCAGAGCUUAACUCUGGAACUGCCAUUAAAACUUUUCAGCUAGAGUAUGAUAGAGGAAAGCAGAAUUUCUAGUGUAGAGGUGAAAUUCGUAGAUAUUAGAAAGAAUACCAAUUGCGAAGGCAGCUUUCUGGAUCAUUACUGACACUGAGGAACGAAAGCAUGGGUAGCGAAGAGGAUUAGAUACCCUCGUAGUCCAUGCCGUAAACGAUGUGUGUUAGACGUUGGAAAUUUAUUUUCAGUGUCGCAGGGAAACCGAUAAACACACCGCCUGGGGAGUACGACCGCAAGGUUAAAACUCAAAUGAAUUGACGGGGACCCGCACAAGUAGUGGAGCAUGUGGUUUAAUUCGAAGAUACGCGCAGAACCUUACCAACACUUGACAUGUUCGUCGCGACUCUAAGAGAUUAGAGUUUUCGGUUCGGCCGGACGAAACACAGGUGCUGCAUGGCUGUCGUCAGCUCGUGUCGUGAGAUGUUGGGUUAAGUCCCGCAACGAGCGCAACCCUCACUUUUAGUUGCCAUCAUUAAGUUGGGCACUCUGAAAGAACUGCCAGUGAUAAGCUGGAGGAAGGUGGGGAUGACGUCAAGUCCUCAUGGCCCUUACGUGUUGGGCUACACACGUGCUACAAUGGUAUCUACAACAGGAAGCAAGACUGCGAAGUUAAGCAAAUCCCGAAAAGAUACCUCAGUUCGGAUUGCACUCUGCAACUCGAGUGCAUGAAGCUGGAAUUACUAGUAAUCGUAGAUCAGCGUGCUACGGUGAAUGCGUUCCCGGGUCUUGUACACACCGCCCGUCACACCAUGGGAGUUGGUUCUACCUUAAGGCAAGGUUUUAAACCCUUGACCACGGUAUAGUCAGCGA